rnacentral:tRNA from 1 species
GGGAGAUUAGCUCAGUGGUAGAGCAACGUGCUGAUAACGCGGAGGUCGGUGGUUCAAAUCCACCAUUUCCCA